UACGUAGGGUGCGAGCGUUGUCCGGAAUUAUUGGGCGUAAAGGGCUCGUAGGCGGUUUGUCACGUCGGGAGUGAAAACUCAGGGCUUAACCCUGAGCCUGCUUCCGAUACGGGCAGACUAGAGGUAUGCAGGGGAGAACGGAAUUCCUGGUGUAGCGGUGAAAUGCGUAGAUAUCGAGAGGAACACCUGCGGCGAAGGCGGGUUGCUGGGCUGACACUGACGCUGAGGCGCGAAAGCUAGGGGAGCGAACGGG
rnacentral:rRNA from 1 species